GACGAACGCUGGCGGCGUGCUUAACACAUGCAAGUCGAACGGAAAGGCCCUGCUUUUGUGGGGUGCUCGAGUGGCGAACGGGUGAGUAACACGUGAGUAGCCUGCCCUUGACUUUGGGAUAACUUCAGGAAACUGGGGCUAAUACCGGAUAGGAGCUCCUGCUGCAUGGUGGGGGUUGGAAAGUUUCGGCGGUUGGGGAUGGACUCGCGGCUUAUCAGCUUGUUGGUGGGGUAGUGGCUUACCAAGGCUUUGACGGGUAGCCGGCCUGAGAGGGUGACCGGCCACAUUGGGACUGAGAUACGGCCCAGACUCCUACGGGAGGCAGCAGUGGGGAAUAUUGCACAAUGGGCGGAAGCCUGAUGCAGCAACGCCGCGUGCGGGAUGACGGCCUUCGGGUUGUAAACCGCUUUCGCCUGUGACGAAGCGCGAGUGACGGUAAUGGGUAAAGAAGCACCGGCUAACUACGUG
rnacentral:rRNA from 1 species